rnacentral:rRNA from 1 species
CUGAUGCCGUCGAGCCAAGAAAAGUUUCUAAGUUUAGCUAAUGUUGCCCGUACCGUAAACCGACACAGGUGGGUGGGAUGAGUAUUCUAAGGCGCGUGGAAGAACUCUCUUUAAGGAACUCUGCAAAAUAGCACCGUAUCUUCGGUAUAAGGUGUGGUUCGCUUCGUAUUAGGAUUUACUCCGAAAGCGAAGAAACUUACAACAAAGAGUCCCUCCCGACUGUUUACCAAAAACACAGCACUCUGCUAACUCGUAAGAGGAUGUAUAGGGUGUGACGCCUGCCCGGUGCUCGAAGGUUAAUUGAUGGGGUUAGCAUUAGCGAAGCUCUUGAUCGAAGCCCGAGUAAACGGCGGCCGUAACUAUAACGGUCCUAAGGUAGCGAAAUUCCUUGUCGGUUAAAUACCGACCUGCAUGAAUGGCGUAACGAGAUGGGAGCUGUCUCAAAGAGGGAUCCAGUGAAAUUGUAGUGGAGGUGAAAAUUCCUCCUACCCGCGGCAAGACGGAAAGACCCCGUGGACCUUUACUACAGCUUGACACUGCUAUUUGGAUAAGAAUGUGCAGGAUAGGUGGGAGGCUUUGAGUAUAUGACGCCAGUUGUAUAUGAGCCGUUGUUGAGAUACCACUCUUUCUUAUUUGGGUAGCUAACCAGCUUGAGUUAUCCUCAAGUGGGACAAUGUCUGGUGGGUAGUUUGACUGGGGCGGUCGCCUCCCAAAUAAUAACGGAGGCUUACAAAGGUUGGCUCAGAACGGUUGGAAAUCGUUCGUAGAGUAUAAAGGUAUAAGCCAGCUUAACUGCAAGACAUACAAGUCAAGCAGAGACGAAAGUCGGUCUUAGUGAUCCGGUGGUUCUGUGUGGAAGGGCCAUCGCUCAAAGGAUAAAAGGUACCCCGGGGAUAACAGGCUGAUCUCCCCCAAGAGCUCACAUCGACGGGGAGGUUUGGCACCUCGAUGUCGGCUCAUCGCAUCCUGGGGCUGGAGCAGGUCCCAAGGGUAUGGCUGUUCGCCAUUUAAAGCGGUACGCGAGCUGGGUUCAGAACGUCGUGAGACAGUUCGGUCCCUAUCUGCCGUGGGCGUAAGAAGAUUGAAGAGAUUUGACCCUAGUACGAGAGGACCGGGUUGAACAAACCACUGGUGUAGCUGUUGUUCUGCCAAGAGCAUCGCAGCGUAGCUAAGUUUGGAACGGAUAAACGCUGAAAGCAUCUAAGCGUGAAGCCAACUCUAAGAUGAAUCUUCUCUAAGCUCUCUAGAAGACUACUAGUUUGAUAGGCUGGGUGUGUAAUGGAUGAAAGUCCUUUAGCUGACCAGUACUAAUAGAGCGUUUGGCUUAUCUUAUUUAAGCAU